GUCCACGCUGUAAACGAUGGGCACUAGGUGUGGGGGGUGUCGACUCCCUCCGUGCCGAAGCUAACGCAUUAAGUGCCCCGCCUGGGGAGUACGGCCGCAAGGCUAAAACUCAAAGGAAUUGACGGGGGCCCGCACAAGCAGCGGAGCAUGUGGUUUAAUUCGACGCAACGCGAAGAACCUUACCUGGGCUUGACAUGUAGAUCAUACCUGUGGAAACACAGGGUCAGUUCGGCUGGAUCUUCACAGGUGGUGCAUGGCUGUCGU
rnacentral:rRNA from 1 species